rnacentral:rRNA from 1 species
AACAAACGCUGGCGGCGUGCCUAAUACAUGCAAGUCGAACGGGGAAAGCUUUCGGGUGAGUACUAGUGGCGCACGGGUGAGUAACGCGUGGAUAAUCUGCCUUAGAGUGGGGGAUAACUAGUCGAAAGAUUAGCUAAUACCGCAUAAGACCACAAGAACUGCGGUUCAAGGGGUCAAAGGUUUUUCGCUCUAAGAUGAGUCCGCGUAAGAUUAGCUAGUUGGUAGGGUAACGGCCUACCAAGGCGACGAUCUUUAACUGGUCUGAGAGGAUGGUCAGUCACACUGGAACUGAGACACGGUCCAGACUCCUACGGGAGGCAGCAGUAGGGAAUAUUUCACAAUGGAGGAAACUCUGAUGCAGCGACGCCGCGUGAGUGAUGAAGGCCUUCGGGUCGUAAAGCUCUGUCGCAGGGGAAUAACACAAUGAAGGUACCCUGUAAGAAAGGAUCGGCUAACUUCGUGCCAGCCGCCGCCGUAAUAC